rnacentral:rRNA from 1 species
CACGUAGUUAGCCGGGACUUAUUCCUGAGGUACCGUCCUUUCUCUUCCCCCAGAAAAGGGUUUUACGACCCGAAAGCCUUCAUCACCCACGCGACGUUGCUGCGUCAGGGUUUCCCCCAUUGCGCAAUAUCCC